CUCAAAGAUUAAGCCAUGCAAGUGGUUAUUUUAACCCUACAGUUUAAAUAAGUGUAAGAAGUAUUUAUUACAAUAUUAUUCAAAAAAAUUUUGUUUAGCAAAAUAAAAUUUCACUUACGCAACUGCAAACAGCUGCUUAAUACAGUCACACUUGUCUUGACUUGGCAAUAAUAUAGUAUAAAAUUUGAAUACCAAAUUUUUACAUUUUCUCAAAAUGAUUUCUCUGUGACAUUUAUUUCAUCAUAUGCAUGUCAUAAUUUAUAUUUUACUAUAGUUUUGGAUAACUCAGGGAAAGUUUGGCUAAUACGUACGAGAAUUUAUAUUUUGUAUAAUAUAAAACUAAUUUAUGAAUAUAAGAUAAGACAAUUUUAAUUUUUUAUAUUUAGUGUAUUAUACUUAUUAUCAGCACUUAUUGAUAAAUUUUUAUUAGAUUCAUCUAUUUAAAUAAUUUUAUUUAUGAUAAUUCUAGUUUUCAAAAAAUUUAAACGCACCAUGAGAGACAAUAAGUCGCACGUUUUCUAUUUUCUGCAAUUGCAUUUUAUAUGCAUAUGCGAGUGGAUUUCAUCAUUGCUGAGCAGACUUUGCGAAGUUUAAUUCUGCGCGAAGCUUGUCAUACAAGCAUCUAAAGCAUCAAGUCACAGGGUUGGCAAGUGUAUUUUUGAACCUUCAAAGCAGUCACGCAUACGGAAGAGUAGUUUCUGAUCCCAUAGAAGGAGCACAGUACAUUGAGAGACCGCUCUUAGUUCUAAGGAACGCAGCAGGCGCGUAAAUUGCCCAAUGCUAGUACCCUACUAUUUUUAGUAUUAAUAUAUGUUUGAUCUUUCUUUGAUAAAAACAGACAUUUGUAUGAUUUAUCCUUGUCAUCUUGAUUUCUCAAGUUAAAUAUUUUUAAUUAAUUUACUGAGGCAGUGACAAGCUGUAACGGUUGAGUAUUUAAAUGACGAGCGUCAGGUAUUGCCGUUUGCUUCUGCAAGCUUGGCAUUUUGCCUACGCUUUGUGUACUCAAUUGGAAUGCGGUGAGUUUAAGCAACUCAGAACCUAUGAAUGGUGUUUGAUGAAUAUCUUAUGCUAUUUAUGUAUCUGAAUUUUCAAGUGGAGGGCAAGUCUGGWGCCAGCAGCCGCGGUAAUACCAGCUCCACUGGCCUAUACAAUCAUUGUUGCGGUUAAGAGGCUCGUAGUUGGAUUGAACAAUCAAUAUAAACAUUUUUAAAUAAAAAAAUUCUUUAAUAAUAUUUUUCAAGAUAUUAUUAUUUUUAUACUCACUAUGAAUUUUAUAAUUUUAUUUUUCAACACUGUGAACAAAUCAGAGUGUACCAAACAUGUCGUCCAAGUGCAAUGAAUGUUUUAUCAUGGAAUGUUGCACAUUUUUUGAUAUUUAUUUAUGUUUUUUAGCAUAAUUUUCUUUUUCUAUACUCAAAUUUUGAAUGAAAUCGUAAAAUUAUUAAUUUUAAUUCUAUAAAUAAAUAUUUAUGUCGAUGGGGAUAGUUGGAGUUAAGAGUACUGCUGGGCGAGAGGUGAAAUUYAUUGACCCUAGCAAGACUACCAAAAGCGAAAGCACUUGACUAGGCUAUACUCUUUGUGAUUUAAUUUAACACCAAUUGUAUUAAUUACAUUUACAACAUAUUGGAUGAUUAGAUUUAUACACUUUACAAUGAAGAACGAAGGUUGGGGGAUCAAAGAGGAUCAGAUACCCUCGUCGUCCCAUUUGUUACAUCAAACGAUGGGCUCUCAAUUGCAUAUACAUUUAGAUGUUUUAGCCCUCAACCUAUAAAAAAUAUUGGUUUGAGCUUGUGUUAUUUUAAUACGCUCGCUAAUUUUUUCGUAUGGUUUCGAUGGACAUUUCGUUUAUAUAUUUUUUUGCGUGUAAGUAUUAUAAUAUUGCUUGAAAUAUCAGCAAUAUGUGCCUGCACAUGAUUUUCUGAGCUUUGCGCUCAUAUUAUUUGGUGAGAUGUAAGCACUAGAUAAGAGCUGCUAGCAACAGUUAUGUUUAAGCAGGUAUUAAUUUAUCGCCAUAACUUUGAUUGUUUAGCUUAGCUUUUUAUCCAUUUUAAAAAGUGUGAAGCACGCGUUAGGCACGCGCUUACUGCAGAAAUGWMWKAGACAUUCCCCYCCGGGGGUAGUAUGCACGCAAGUGUGAAACUUGAAGGAAUUGACGGAAGGGCACCACAAGAACGCGUGGAGCAUGUGGCUUAAUUUGACUCAACGCGGGAAAUCUUACCGGGUCCGGACACACUGAGGAUUGACAGGCAAUCAUGUGAAAUGUUUCUAACUUUUACAUAUAAAUAUGCUAGUCCUUUCAUGAUUAUGUGAUAGGUGGUGCAUGGCCGUUCUUAGUUCGUGGAGUGAUCUGUCUGCUUAAUUGCGUUUCACAUAGGACUUAAACUCAAGUGUGCUACAUUUCUUGUACUUAUUAUAUGUAAAUUUGAUAUAAUAUAUAUAUGUGUUAUAAAAAUGAUUGUAAUAUAAAAUUUACUUUUUAUAUAAUUUUCAUUAAGUAUAUAUAAUAUUUUUACAAUUAUUACUAAAUAUUUACUAUUUUGAAAUUGUACGUACACAUUAGGUCCUGAAAGCAACGAACGUGACCGCAUCCUCUUGUUGCCUUUUACUAAAACGAGUAUCUUAAAAAUUAAUAUUUUUUAUUAAUAAAUUAUCUACAAGUUUUGACCAGAAAGUGCUUUAUCAAACUAGAGGGACCGCUGCGACUUUUUUAAACCAGAGGAAGGUUGCGGCAAUAACAGGUCUGUGAUGCCCUUAGAUGUUCCGGGCUGCACACGUGCUACAAUGAUUAUUGCAGUAAGCAUCUCAUUUUAUAAUGCUGUAUCAUCAUCAAUCUUUUUAAAAGUUACUUGAUUUAGUUGAACAGUAAAGCCUGCUUCGAAAGUUCGCAGGUAAUCAAUUGGAAGUAAUGAUUUCUCUUAAUUCAAUAUUGUUUGAUUUUGUGAGCACACAAUAUGCUGCUCCUUUCCCUGGCAGUUAGCUUUUUUGGUCUUUCUGUCUUUCAGUGAGUUAGGAUGUUUCUCAGCAUGUGCUUUUUGUCAAUUCUUGGUGGGGACAGACCAUUGUUAAUUGUUGGUCUCGGUCUUAACUAGGAAUGCCUUGUACGGGUCUUUGGUUCAACAAACCACCCGGAAUACGUCCCUGCCCUUUGUACACACCGCCCGUCGCUCUUACCGAUGGACUUCUCUGUGAGUUUGAGGGACUGAGUACCUUGCUUUUUUGAAGUUAUUACCACUUAUGGAAACUUAAACGAACAGUGUGGUCUAAAGGAAAGAGAAGUCGUAACAAGGCAUCGGUAGGUGAACCU
rnacentral:rRNA from 1 species